AUAUAUAUAGUGCAGUACUAUUUGCCCAGCAGAAGUAGCAUUUAGGUAGUCAUUCAGACCCAGGUCCAGCGAGGUAUUUGAAAACUGCUUUUCAAAUAUCUCUAUCUAGAGAAGUGAGUAGUGUUUACAGUGAGGCCCAGGAUCAAUACAAACAGGAAGUUAGUCACCAAGUUUCAUUAAAUACCGGCAUUUACAUGUUACAAGUUUUUUUUUUCAUGGACUCAGUCAAUCUUUUUGUAAAGCAAUAAGACACUGCGUCUUGUCAGUAAGUAUUUUUAUUUAACACAUUUCCUUCCCCCCUCUUAGCAGUAGUGAAAAACUACCUAUGCCUCACCUUUUGUUUUGCAUGUGGCACACCCUGAGGAGAUUGUCUAACUGGCCUGGAAUGCGGUACUCGGUAGGCAGGAAGGGAAGCGUACAUCAACAAAGACAGCUCUCAUUUCACACCGUGUGUGGGCAGAUGAACUCUAUGGACACAUUUGCCGUGUUUCAUAGUACAGAACAAGCAAGAACCCAGUUCAGCUUUACAGAUGGCACAGAAAAAAGCUGCUGGCACCUCAAAUGGUGCCACACGAAGACGCUGGUGGAAUCUGAGACAGCAAUGGAGGAUGCUGGGUGUGUUUGAAAUCAACCCAGAGCAUGAAUUCUACCAACUGACAUCCAUGAUAAAAGAAGGCAUGCAUGCUUCCAUUCAGAUCACAACUGAAAUACCAAGCCAGAAUACACUCACAACGGAACAUUUCAAGGCAGAAGAAACUCGAACACAUGAGGCGAGUUGUAUUUCUACCCCCAAAUUUUUUUCGUGAUUUUACUUGUUUUUAGACAAGAACUAGAAGC